rnacentral:rRNA from 1 species
UACGUAGGGGGCAAGCGUUGUCCGGAAUCAUUGGGCGUAAAGAGCGUGUAGGCGGCCUGGUAAGUCCGCUGUGAAAGUCCAGGGCUCAACCCUGGAAUGCCGGUGGAAACUGUCAGGCUCGAGUCCGGAAGAGGCGAGUGGAAUUCCUGGUGUAGCGGUGAAAUGCGCAGAUAUCAGGAGGAACACCAAUGGCGAAGGCAGCUCGCUGGGACGGUACUGACGCUGAGGUGCGAAAGCGUGGGGAGCGAACAGG